GAUGAACGCUGGCGGCGUGCCUAAUACAUGCAAGUCGAGCGAAUGGAUUAAGAGCUUGCUCUUAUGAAGUUAGCGGCGGACGGGUGAGUAACACGUGGGUAACCUGCCCAUAAGACUGGGAUAACUCCGGGAAACCGGGGCUAAUACCGGAUAACAUUUUGAACCGCAUGGUUCGAAAUCGAAAGGCGGCUUCGGCUGUCACUUAUGGAUGGACCAGCGUCGCAUUAGCUAGUUGGGGAGGUAACGGCUCACCAAGGCAACGAUGCGUAGCCGACCUGAGAGGGUGAUCGGCCACACUGGGACUGAGACACGGCCCAGCCUCCUACGGGAGGAAGCAGUAGGGUAUCAUCCGCAAUGGACGAAAGUCUGACGGAGCAACGCCGCGUGAGUGAUGAAGGCUUUCGGGUCGUAAAACUCUGUUGUUAGGGAAGAACAAGUGCUAGUUGAAUAAGCUGGCACCUUGACGGUACCUAACCAGAAAGCCACGGCUAACUACGUGCCAGCCGCCGCGGUAA
rnacentral:rRNA from 1 species